GGGAACUGUCAUUUGUCUCAAGACAAAAACAACAAUAAUCUCUUCCUACCACCACUCCCAUCAACUUGCCUCUGAGACUCCUAUCAGUGGGAAAUGUCCUGAGUGUAGAUUUGUGUUAUGAUGAGGUUUAGACUGACAUUGGGUUUUCAUGCAACAGGACAACGGAGUUGCCUCAUCAAAGGGCCAAAUAAAAGUUAAUUCGUCUGAAUUCAAGACAAUGAAACUCUGGACUAAGAGGACUCCUCAGAUACCCUAUCCUGGCAAGUAUGUCUCAAGAAGUAAACAAAGAUAUUUCGGUCAUAGGAAAAUUUUUGAAUAAUAGAAACAAAUGGGGCAAGUUCCCCAUUAUGGUGGUCCACAGGCUCAAACCUCUCCCAGCGGACCAUAUACUGCAAGCAGCCUCAGCAGUACCAGGAGUCAGAAUGAUCUGAGCCCUCUUGCACUCUUCUGUUGAUGUGUUAAACAAGAUGAGAGCUAAGAGAACAGCAACAUGCAUUAUUCACAGUAGCCAAGAUGUGGA